rnacentral:misc_RNA from 1 species
UUGAUUCAUUUAUAGUUGUUUACUCAGAAGAUACAAAAAAAACAAGAGUUUAUAGGGCCACCGGCCGACCUGCUCCAUUUCUUGCAAAAAGGGACUUCGUACGAAGCCGGUCUGCGCCGAGGCAACAAUAGAGAAUAAUUCACAAAGGGUUUCUGGGUAGCACCCGUGAGGGCGUUUGUUCCAGCAAUGAUCCCUCCGCUGGUUCACCAACGGAGA